AAUUGACGGGGACCCGCACAAGCGUGGAUGAUGUGGAUUAAUUCGAUGCAACGCGAAAACCUUACCUACCCUUGACAUGUCUGGAACCUUGGUGAGAGCCGAGGGUGCCUUCGGGAGCCAGAACACAGGUGCUGCAUGGCUGUCGUCAGCUCGUGUCGUGAGAUGUUGGGUUAAGUCCCGCAACGAGCGCAACCCUUGUCACUAGUUGCCAUCAUUUAGUUGGGCACUCUAAUGAGACUGCCGGUGACAAACCGGAGGAAGGUGGGGAUGACGUCAAGUCCUCAUGGCCCUUAUGGGUAGGGCUUCACACGUCAUACAAUGGUCGGUACAGAGGGUUGCCAAGCCGCGAGGUGGAGCCAAUCCCUUAAAGCCGAUCGUAGUCCGGAUUGUAGUCUGCAACUCGACUACAUGAAGUCGGAAUCGCUAGUAAUCGCGGAUCAGCAUGUCGCGGUGAAUACGUUCCCGGGCCUU
rnacentral:rRNA from 1 species